rnacentral:rRNA from 1 species
UACGAAGGGGGCUAGCGUUGCUCGGAAUCACUGGGCGUAAAGCGCACGUAGGCGGAUUGCUAAGUCAGGGGUGAAAUCCUGGAGCUCAACUCCAGAACUGCCUUUGAUACUGGCGAUCUUGAGUCCGGGAGAGGUGAGUGGAACUCCGAGUGUAGAGGUGAAAUUCGUAGAUAUUCGCAAGGACACCAGUGGCGAAGGCGGCUCUCUGGGCAGAUACUGACGCUGAGACGCGAAAGCAUGGGGAGCAAACAGG